CCUGCUUCAGUUAUGCUAUCAUUUGCCUUAGGCUUAUAGAUGCCUCUGUAGUGGUUUUGACAAGUGGCUUGGAAAUUGCACUGUGUAUGACCUGUGACUAGUCAACAUCGUCCUCAUCCUUCCGACCUCACCUUCAAAAAUCCCUUUCUAGGUGCUUUCCAACCUCAGUUCUGCCAAUGAAGAACAGUGUUGCAAAUUUCCCAGGAAGCAGAGGAGAAAGUAUUUGUCCCAGCAGCUGCUGCAGGGAAGGAACUGCUGUCUUUACCUGAAGAGAAGUGGAGAACUGAAAUGCCUCAGCCGAGGAGAAAGCCUAAUUUUCUCUGCCAGAUUCCAGCACCUGUCUGCUAACUGCAACCAUUAGGCCCCAGGGGUGACAGUACAGAAACACAAAAGUAUCUGUUGUGUUUAGGACACUAUGUGGGUAGAACGCCAAACUCAGAAUUUUGUAGAUGACUCUCAUCUCUAAUAAACUGU
rnacentral:lncRNA from 1 species